GAGGAAGGCGGGCGGCGUGCCUAAUACAUGCAAGUCGAGCGAACAGAUGAGGAGCUUGCUCCUCUGACGUUAGCGGCGGACGGGUGAGUAACACGUGGAUAACCUACCUAUAAGACUGGGAUAACUUCGGGAAACCGGAGCUAAUACCGGAUAAUAUAUUGAACCGCAUGGUUCAAUAGUGAAAGACGGUUUUGCUGUCACUUAUAGAUGGAUCCGCGCCGCAUUAGCUAGUUGGUAAGGUAACGGCUUACCAAGGCAACGAUGCGUAGCCGACCUGAGAGGGUGAUCGGCCACACUGGAACUGAGACACGGUCCAGACUCCUACGGGAGGCAGCAGUAGGGAAUCUUCCGCAAUGGGCGAAAGCUUGACGGAGCAACGCCGCGUGAGUGAUGAAGGUCUUCGGAUCGUAAAACUCUGUUAUUAGGGAAGAACAAAUGUGUAAGUAACUAUGCACGUCUUGACGGUACCUAAUCAGAAAGCCACGGCUAACUACGUG
rnacentral:rRNA from 1 species